CGCUGGCGGCAGGCCUAACACAUGCAAGCCGAGCGGUAACAUUUCAAAAGCUUGCUUUUGAAGAUGACGAGCGGCGGACGGGUGAGUAAUGCCUGGGAAUUUGCCCAUUUGUGGGGGAUAACAGUUGGAAACGACUGCUAAUACCGCAUACGCCCUACGGGGGAAAGCAGGGGACCUUCGGGCCUUGCGCUGAUGGAUAAGCCCAGGUGGGAUUAGCUAGUAGGUGAGGUAAAAGCUCACCUAGGCGACGAUCCCUAGCUGGUCUGAGAGGAUGAUCAGCCACACCGUGACUGAGACACGGCCCAGACUCCUACGGGAGGCAGCAGUGGGGAAUAUUGCACAAUGGGGGAAACCCUGAUGCAGCCAUGCCGCGUGUGUGAAGAAGGCCUUCGGGUUGUAAAGCACUUUCAGCGAGGAGGAAAGGGUGUAAGUUAAUACCUUACAUCUGUGACGUUACUCGCAGAAGAAGCACCGGCUAACUCCGUGCCAGCAGCCGCGGUAAUACGGAGGGUGCGAGCGUUAAUCGGAAUUACUGGGCGUAAAGCGUGCGCAGGCGGUUUGUUAAGCGAGAUGUGAAAGCCCCGGGCUCAACCUGGGAACCGCAUUUCGAACUGGCAAACUAGAGUCUUGUAGAGGGGGGUAGAAUUCCAGGUGUAGCGGUGAAAUGCGUAGAGAUCUGGAGGAAUACCGGUGGCGAAGGCGGCCCCCUGGACAAAGACUGACGCUCAGGCACGAAAGCGUGGGGAGCAAACAGGAUUAGAUACCCUGGUAGUCCACGCCGUAAACGAUGUCUACUCGGA
rnacentral:rRNA from 1 species